rnacentral:rRNA from 1 species
UACAGAGGGUGCAAGCGUUGUUCGGAAUUAUUGGGCGUAAAGGGUGCGUAGGCGGCGCGGUAAGUCGGGUGUGAAAUCUCGGAGCUUAACUCCGAAACUGCAUUCGAUACUACCGUGCUUGAGGACUGGAGAGGAGACUGGAAUUUACGGUGUAGCGGUGAAAUGCGUAGAUAUCGUAAGGAAGACCAGUGGCGAAGGCGGGUCUCUGGACAGUUCCUGACGCUGAGGCACGAAGGUCAGGGGAGCAAACGGG